CGCAAUAAACAUCGCCCUCGCUUGCAAGAAGAAGAUUAUCUUCUGGGGCGCAGCGAGUAUAUCAUGAAUCUCUCCCCCACUUUUACGCCCUUAAUAGUUGUAUACUCUGCUCAGAUGACGCUGCGGCAGGCCUAACACAUGCAAGUCGACGUAACAGGAAGCAGCUUGCUGCUUCGCUGACGAGUGGCGGACGGGUGAGUAAUGUCUGGGAAACUGCCUGAUGGAGGGGGAUAACUACUGGAAACGGUAGCUAAUACCGCAUAAUGUCGCAAGACCAAAGAGGGGGACCUUCGGGCCUCUUGCCAUCGGAUGUGCCCAGAUGGGAUUAGCUAGUAGGUGGGGUAACGGCUCACCUAGGCGACGAUCCCUAGCUGGUCUGAGAGGAUGACCAGCCACACUGGAACUGAGACACGGUCCAGACUCCUACGGGAGGCAGCAGUGGGGAAUAUUGCACAAUGGGGCGCAAGCCUGAUGCAGCCAUGCCGCGUGUAUGAAGAAGGCCUUCGGGUUGUAAAGUACUUUCAGCGGGGAGGAAGGYGWURAGGUUAAUAACCUCAUCGAUUGACGUUACCCGCAGAAGAAGCACCGGCUAACUCCGUGCCAGCAGCCGCGGUAAUACGGAGGGUGCAAGCGUUAAUCGGAAUUACUGGGCGUAAAGCGCACGCAGGCGGUCUGUCAAGUCGGAUGUGAAAUCCCCGGGCUCAACCUGGGAACUGCAUUCGAAACUGGCAGGCUAGAGUCUUGUAGAGGGGGGUAGAAUUCCAGGUGUAGCGGUGAAAUGCGUAGAGAUCUGGAGGAAUACCGGUGGCGAAGGCGGCCCCCUGGACAAAGACUGACGCUCAGGUGCGAAAGCGUGGGGAGCAAACAGGAUUAGAUACCCUGGUAGUCCACGCCGUAAACGAUGUCGACUUGGAGGUUGUGCCCUUGAGGCGUGGCUUCCGGAGCUAACGCGUUAAGUCGACCGCCUGGRGAGUMCGGCCGCAAGGUUAAAACUCAAAUGAAUUGACGGGGGCCCGCACAAGCGGUGGAGCAUGUGGUUUAAUUCGAUGCAACGCGAAGAACCUUACCUACUCUUGACAUCCAGAGAACUUUCCAGAGAUGGCAUUGGUGCCUUCGGGAACUCUGAGACAGGUGCUGCAUGGCUGUCGUCAGCUCGUGUUGUGAAAUGUUGGGUUAAGUCCCGCAACGAGCGCAACCCUUAUCCUUUGUUGCCAGCGGUUCAGGCCGGGAACUCAAAGGAGACUGCCAGUGAUAAACUGGAGGAAGGUGGGGAUGACGUCAAGUCAUCAUGGUCCUUACGAGUAGGCUACCACCACGUGCUACAAUGCGCAUACAAAGAAGAAGCGACCUCCGCGAGAGCAGCCGACUCAUAACGUGGCGUCCGUUAGUCAGAUGAGUCUGCCAACCUCCG
rnacentral:rRNA from 1 species